rnacentral:SRP_RNA from 1 species
GCCAGGUGCAGUGCCUCGUGCCUGUAGUCCCAGCUACUAGGGAGGCUGAGGUGGGAGGAUCGCUUGAGCCCAGGAGUUCUGAGCUGUAGUGCGCUAUGCCAAUCGGGUGUCUGCACUAAGUUCGGCAUCAGUAUGGUGACCUCCCGAGAACGGGGGACCACCAGGUUGCCUAAGGAGGGAUGAACCAGCCCAGGUCGGAAAUGGAGCAGGUCAAAACUCCUGUGCUGGUCAGUAGUGGGAUUGCGCUUGCGAACAGCCACUGUACUCUAGCCUGGGCAACACAGAGAGACCCUGCCUCA